GGCUGGGUGGCGGAAUUGGCAGACGCUGGGGACUUAAAAUCCCUUGCCAGAAAUGGCGUGCGGGUUCGAGCCCCGCCCUAGCUA
rnacentral:tRNA from 1 species